AGUGAACGCUGGCGGUAGGCCUAACACAUGCAAGCCGAACGGCAGCACAGUAAGAGCUUGCUCUUACGGGUGGCGAGUGGCGGACGGGUGAGGAAUACAUCGGAAUCUACUUUUUCGUGGGGGAUAACGUAGGGAAACUUACGCUAAUACCGCAUACGACCUACGGGUGAAAGCAGGGGAUCUUCGGACCUUGCGCGAUUGAAUGAGCCGAUGUCGGAUUAGCUAGUUGGCGGGGUAAAGGCCCACCAAGGCGACGAUCCGUAGCUGGUCUGAGAGGAUGAUCAGCCACACUGGAACUGAGACACGGUCCAGACUCCUACGGGAGGCAGCAGUGGGGAAUAUUGGACAAAGGGCGCAAGCCUGAUCCAGCCAUACCGCGUGGGUGAAGAAGGCCUUCGGGUUGUAAAGCCCUUUUGUUGGGAAAGAAAAGCAGCAGGUUAAUACCCCGCUGUUCUGACGGUACUCAAAGAAUAAGCACCGGCUAACUUCGUG
rnacentral:rRNA from 1 species